AUGUGGGAGGGUGAGUGGGUGAGGCCGAGCCUGCUGCGCCUGGAGCCUCGAGUGGGCCCUGGCUGCCGCUACCACACAGGGGCCGUGUUGCGCGUGGACUGGGCCUGGCCCUGCACCCCACCUCUGGGCAUGCAGAAGUUUGUGUCUCCAAGGAACCCACAGGUGGAGAGAAAUCGGGAGAUGCAGGAAGUGGGGGCCCAUGGGGCCCCUAGGAAGCAGACUCUCCAAGGGGUACCCCCACCCCACUACCUUCCCCACAGACGGGCCCCUCCCAAAGCCCACACCCUCCUACUGCCUGCUGUCACCACAGAGCUGCUGGAGCCUGCCUUGUCCACGGCCCAUUUCCACCCGGGCAUGUUCGUCUCUCGUGACUUGGGCAGAGGCCCCCGGUGGUCCUGCGUUUCAGUUUCCCAUCCAGGAAGGGUCCAUGUUUACGCGGAUCAGAGGUACCCCUACCGAGUGGCCGCACUACUCUGCUGCCCGGGCCAGCGGCUUCCACUGAGACUCCCUGGAGAGCCGGCUCCCGUGUCCAUCCACCGAGCACUCAGACGGAUGCUGAUCACCAGGGCCGAGGGGGAGCCCAGAAGGACCCCAGGCCCUGGGGGAGGAGGCCUGAGCCUCUGUGGCCCUGUAGCCGUGGGCAGAGCUGGGCCUGUCAUGUGCUCCUGCUUGGCAGGUGCAGUUUUCCCACUGUCUGAGCCGAGCAGGACCCUGUCCCAGAGCAAGAGAUGUCCCCUUCCAUCCCUGACCCCCUGCCUGGGACAAGCCUUGUUGGGAGACCCCAGCUUCAGGGCUGUGGUGGGAAUAGCACCCGCAAAUGCCAGCCUCUCCUUUCUUCCCAUCCACCAGUUCACUGCGAGGCCAUUUCUGGUGUUUACGCAAGAGGAAGCCCAUUUCUGGUGGGAUAUGCCUUCCAGUGCCACAGGGCCACCGACCCCACGCAUCUCUGUCCUGCCCAUCAGUCCUGCCCUUGCUGGGAUGGACAGCAAGGGCGAGCCCAGUGUCUGGCAGAUAGGUGGGUGGGAACGGAGAGGGGAGAAUGCCAUCCUAAGCCUGGGUUUCGGGAGCCCCCACACGGCCUGGGUACUGCCUGGGAAACCUGUCCUACGUAAAACCAUGGGCCUCGCCUCGCCCACCGGCCUGCGAAGCCAGCAUCUCUGUGAAGGUGGAUGGAAGCACCUUUGUCCUCAUUUUGAGCUGCAAGCUGGCCACCGCGCCCAGCUGCCCUCAAGUGACUGUCUAACCCAAGACCCAGCCCCUAGCAGGAGGAGGGUGGGUGCAGGGCUGGUGGGACAAAAAGAGGCCUCAGCAGGCCUGCCAGACCCUUCCAGUGCAUCCCAAAGCAUGUCAAGCAGCUAGGAGGACCUGUGUCAAGCUCAAGCCAUCGUAGGUCCCCAUUAGGUAUCUGAAGCCCGUUCUUGGUGACGGGAGGCGGGGAGGCGCUGACGUUCUGGGGAAUGGACCUGAGUCCUCGGCUGGCUCUGCCCUGAAGGGGGUGAGGUGUGUGGUGACCUUCUGGAUGCCCUUCAUGGCUGCAUCAUUCCUGAUUCAGAACUUUAGCCGGAGCUUCAUCUAGUGAUUGCAGAAUUGGACCAACGGGAGGACUGCAGCGUGGCCCGGUCCAUCCCUCGAAUGGACCAACGGGAGGACUGCGGCGUGGCCCAGCCCCUCCCUGGAAUGGAGCUCAGUUCUUCGGAGGUGUCAGCACCUGUCACCUCUGUGGUCCCCCUGCCGAGGGAGUGCGGCCCCCGCGAGGUUCGGGGGGAUUUCGUUGGCCGGAGUGGCCGGCCCUGCGGGUGUUUGUGAGCCUUGGUUCCCACAGCACUGUGUAGCCUGCGUCUGUUUCGCGCUGGUCCUGUUGAGGUGUGAUGGUUCCUCCCCAUCCCAGGAGCUCCCUACCUGUGACUGGCUGAACACCCCGUACCCUGCCAGCCACGCUAGGGGUUGCUGUUGGAAAUGGUGGCAGCUGACUCCCUAAAAACCUCCCCGUUGGAGGAAAGAGCACGCCUUGCCCCUGCCUGCCGGGUCCAGGCCCCCUCUCGUCCUGUGCUCUGUUCUCUGCCUGGGGGGCUGGCCUGGGUGUCCCGGCGUGGGCUUCCUGCAGGACUUCCCAGGGCAGAGCCCUCGGGGAUAGGAGGCCAGGGCUCCCUUCCCUGCCCAACCUGCGCGAUUCUGAGGCCCAGCUCCAGGUGUUGGCCAAGGGCGUCUGCUCCUUCUGGGUUCCACCUGGCUCCUUCACACCUGGGUGGUGACAUUGCAGUGCCUCUGGCUUGGCCGAUCUCGUGUUCCCCUGAAUCACAUGCACCUGUGCAAUAAAGCCACAGACUAUCUCCAGCAAUGCCAGGCUGGUUGCUGUGUCCCAAGAACAAGGAGAAGGUGGAACCAGGGGCUGCAGAACCAGCCCCUCCCCACGAGGCUCCCCUCUGGACACCGCUCCCUGUGGAGGACACCAGGAGCCACAGACCCCAGACCACAGAGCAUGCAGGGGAGGGCACGGGGCUGCCGGGGCAGGGUGUCUGCUGCCUCGUUCACGGGAUUUGCUCCUUGUCUGGCACACUGCUGCCUGCACUGCUCCCGUCCCCUGUGGUGGCUACUCUGGGCCUACAGGCCUAAUCCUGUGUGGCAUGAAAGUGUCCUAAGGCUACUGUGACAAAUUUCCACAAGCUGAAUGGCUUAAAGGAGCACAUUUGUUCUCUUACAGUUGCAGAGGCCAGAAGAGUCUAAAAACAGUCAGCAGGGCUGGUUCCUCCUGGAGGCUUGGAGGGACUGAAUCCUUUUCCUGCCUUGUCUAGUGUCUGGAGGGCGCCUGCAUCCCCUUGCUCACGGCCCCUUCCAUCAACAAAGCCAGUAGUGCCACAUCUUUCCACCUCUCCCUUACUCUGACCUCCUCUCUUUCUCUUAGAAGGACCCUGUGUGACGUUGGACCCACCUAGAUAAUUUAGGCUCAUCUCUCAUUUCAAGAUCCUUAAUGUAAUCCCACCUUUAAGUACCUUUUGCCAGGUAAGGUCACAAAUUCACAGGGUCUGAGAAUGAAGAUGUGGACCUCUUUGAGGGCCAUGAUUCAGCCCACCCCGUCUAGAAUGGAGUGUGUUCUGCAGUGGGGGACGCCUAUGCAAACCUAUCACGAAGUCCAAGGAGGCAGAGAGGCCAAAGUAAGCUGCCCUUGGCUGGGCGUGGUGGCUCACCUCUAUGAUCCCAGCACUUUGGGAGGCUGAGGCGGGCGGAUCAUGAGGUCAAGAGUUCAAGACCAGCCUGGCUAAC